rnacentral:rRNA from 1 species
CCUACGGGAGGCAGCAGUGAGGAAUAUUGGUCAAUGGGCGCAAGCCUGAACCAGCCAAGCCGCGUGCAGGAUGACUGCUCUACGAGUUGUAAACUUCUUUUAUACAAGAGUAAACGCAGGUACGUGUACCUUUUUGAAUGUAUUUUACGAAUAAGGAUCGGCUAACUCCGUGCCAGCAGCCGCGGUAAUACGGAGGAUCCGAGCGUUAUCCGGAUUUAUUGGGUUUAAAGGGUGCGUAGGCGGGCUGUUAAGUCAGUUGUGAAAUCCUGAGGCUCAACCUCGGAAUUGCAGUUGAUACUGGUAGUCUAGAGUGUAGUUGAGGUAGGCGGAAGUCGUGGUGUAGCGGUGAAAUGCUUAGAGAUCAUGAAGAACACUGAUUGCGAAGGCAGCUUACUAAGCUACUACUGACGUUGAUGCACGAAAGCGUGGGGAGCAAACAGGAUUAGAUACCCGGGUAGUC